rnacentral:rRNA from 1 species
AGUCGAACGAUUAAAGCUUCUUCGGAAGUGUAUAAAGUGGCAAACGGGUGAGUAACACGUGGGAAUGUACCUUUUGGUUCGGGACAACAGUUGGAAACGACUGCUAAUACCGGAUAAGCUCUACGGAGGAAAGAUUUAUCGCCAAAAGAUCAGCCCGCGCAACAUUAGCUAGUUGGUAAGGUAAAGGCUUACCAAGGCGACGAUGUUUAGCUGGUCUGAGAGGAUGAUCAGCCACACUGGGACUGAGAUACGGCCCAGACUCCUACGGGAGGCAGCAGUGAGGAAUAUUGCACAAUGGAGGAAACUCUGAUGCAGCCAUGCCGCGUGAGUGAUGAAGGCCUUCGGGUUGUAAAACUCUUUCGCAAGGGAAGAUAAUGACGGUACCUUGACAAGAAGCCCCGGCUAACUUCGUGCCAGCAGCCGCGGUAAUACGAAGGGGGCUAGCGUUGUUCGGAAUUACUGGGCGUAAAGAGUACGUAGGUGGAUUGAAAAGUUAGAUGUGAAAGCCCAGGGCUCAACCUUGGAACUGCAUUUAAAACUAUUAGUCUAGAGUCAGCUAGGGGAUGAUGGAAUUCCAUGUGUAGCGGUGAAAUGCGUAGAUAUAUGGAGGAACACCAGAGGCGAAGGCGAUCAUCUGGGGCUGUACUGACACUGAGGUACGAAAGCGUGGGGAGCAAACAGGAUUAGAUACCCUGGUAGUCCACGCCGUAAACGAUGCAUGCUAGUUGUCGGGAUUUAUUUCUCGGUGACGUAGCUAACGCGUUAAGCAUGCCGCCUGGGGACUACGGCCGCAAGGCUAAAACUCAAAGGAAUUGACGGGGACCCGCACAAGCGGUGGAGCAUGUGGUUUAAUUC